AGCUAAUGUUUGCAGCUUCUUCAAGCUAUUGUCUCAGUUUUGCUGCUGCUGUGGUUGCCACUUGCUUAUCUGGACUGACUGGUGACCAACACAGUCCCCAGCUCUCUUCUGAAUUCCACUAAAUAAUCAUGAUAGCUGGCUGGGCGCAGUGGCUCAAGCCUGUAAUCCCAGUACUUUGGGAGGCCCAGGUGGGUGGAUCAUGAGGUCAGGAGUUUGAGACCAGCCUGGCCAGCAUAGUGAAACCCUGUCUCUACUAAAAAUACAAAAAAUUAGCCAGGCAUGGUGGCAGGCACCUGUAAUCCCAGCUACACAGGAGGCUGAGGCAAGAGAAUCACUUGACUCUGGGAGGCGGAGGUUGCAGUGAGUCGGGAUCGUGCCACUGCACUCCAGCCUGGGUGACAGAACAAGACUCCAUCUCAGAAAAAAAAAAAAUCAUGAUAGCCUCCCAACUUGGUGUAAUGUUAAUGUGUGUCCUAUUGUGCAUGCUGGGACCAUUUUCAGUGAGAGAUUUACAGUGGCACCGACUCAGCAAAGACUGACUUUUGUGAUAAAAUGAAUUAAUAUUUAUUUAGUGCUUUGCAGGUUAAAAUUACUUCUUAUAUAUUAUCUCAUUUUAUCCUUAUGUUAACCCAGUGAAGUAGAUACAGCAAAUGUUUUUAUCUGUUUUUUUAUUCAUAAGAUUAAAGAAUAUUGUUUGAGAAUGUUCUUACACUUUAAUUUUUUUUUUUUCCCUGUAGGUGAAAUGUCCAGCUUUUAAGUGAAUUGGUAUGGUAUGGUGGCUAGUUCCAAUUGAAAUGGCUAAGCUUCAUCCCUUUGAACUCUCAACUUUUCAGGAACACCUCUGUGACCAAAUGUGUGUGGUGUUUUUCCUAUACACCAAGGAGGCAAUCAGUUCUCAGCAGAUUCUCCAGCGGACACGAGGUUAGCCCGGAUGCGUCUCAGCUUUGAUGGAAAAGACGGCUAGCUGGCAAUUACUGAAUACUCAUAUAAUCAGAGGAGAACUUGUGAAAUCAUCCUGGGAAAACAUUCUCUAGAGGAUAAGAAUUUUGGUAGCAGUUAAAUGUCUAGACUCUGGAGUUAUUACUGAAGGUAACACUAUUUUUCAAAGGCUGUUGUUGCUAAAUUUAGUUCAAAAUAUUUCAUGUCAGCCUGUGAUAUGUUGUACCU
rnacentral:lncRNA from 1 species